rnacentral:rRNA from 1 species
GAUGAACGCUGGCGGCGUGCUUAACACAUGCAAGUCGAACGAUGAAGCCCAGCUUGCUGGGUGGAUUAGUGGCGAACGGGUGAGUAACACGUGAGUAACCUGCCCUUAACUCUGGGAUAAGCCUGGGAAACUGGGUCUAAUACCGGAUAGGAGCGCCUACCGCAUGGUGGGUGUUGGAAAGAUUUAUCGGUUUUGGAUGGACUCGCGGUCUAUCAGCUUGUUGGUGAGGUAAUGGCUCACCAAGGCGACGACGGGUAGCCGGCCUGAGAGGGUGACCGGCCACACUGGGACUGAGACACGGCCCAGACUCCUACGGGAGGCAGCAGUGGGGAAUAUUGCACAAUGGGCGAAAGCCUGAUGCAGCGACGCCGCGUGAGGGAUGACGGCCUUCGGGUUGUAAACCUCUUUCAGUAGGGAAGAAGCGAAAGUGACGGUACCUGCAGAAGAAGCACCGGCUAACUACGUG